ACAAAACUAGAGGCUCUUAAGAGCCUGUGUCGCUCACCUUGGUCUAUGUGCAUAUUAAACAAAGGACACAGGUGGAUUCAUGACAAAAUUGUGUUUUGGUGAUGUGAUGUGUUUGUAGAUCUUACUUUACUGAACAUUCUUGCUUCUUACAAUUAUCUCAAUUUAUAAUGAACUUGGCCCAUUAGUUACAGAGGAAAAUAUUUUGUUAAAAAUUUACAAAAA
rnacentral:lncRNA from 1 species